GGAUAGCUCAGUUAGUAAAGCAGGAGACUUGUAAUCUCAGGGCUGUGGGUCCAAGCCCUAUGUUGGACA